GAUGAACGCUGGCGGCGUGCUUAACACAUGCAAGUCGAACGGAAAGGCCCAAGCUUGCUUGGGUACUCGAGUGGCGAACGGGUGAGUAACACGUGGGUGAUCUGCCCUGCACUUCGGGAUAAGCCUGGGAAACUGGGUCUAAUACCGGAUAGGACGAUGGUUUGGAUGCCAUUGUGGACAGUUUUUUCGUUGUGGGAUGAGCUCGCGGCCUAUCAGCUUGUUGGUGGGGUAAUGGCCUACCAAGGCGUCGACGGGUAGCCGGCCUGAGAGGGUGUAUGGCCACAUUGGGACUGAGAUACGGCCCAGACUCCUACGGGAGGCAGCAGUGGGGAAUAUUGCACAAUGGGCGCAAGCCUGAUGCAGCGACGCCGCGUGGGGGAUGACGGCCUUCGGGUUGUAAACUCCUUUCGCUAGGGACGAAGCGUUUUUGUGACGGUACCUGGAGAAGAAGCACCGGCUAACUACGUG
rnacentral:rRNA from 1 species